ACGGAAGGCAGCAGUGGGGAAUAUUGGACAAUGGGCGCAAGCCUGAUCCAGCCAUGCCGCGUGAGUGAUGACGGCCUUAGGGUUGUAAAGCUCUUUCGGCGGGGACGAUAAUGACGGUACCCGCAGAAGAAGCCCCGGCUAACUUCGUGCCAGCAGCCGCGGUAAUACGAAGGGGGCUAGCGUUGUUCGGAAUCACUGGGCGUAAAGGGCGCGUAGGCGGCUUUGUAAGUCGGGGGUGAAAGCCUGUGGCUCAACCACAGAAUUGCCUUCGAUACUGCAUGGCUUGAGACCGGAAGAGGUUAGUGGAACUGCGAGUGUAGAGGUGAAAUUCGUAGAUAUUCGCAAGAACACCAGUGGCGAAGGCGGCUGACUGGUCCGGUUCUGACGCUGAGGCGCGAAAGCGUGGGGAGCAAACAGGAUUAGAUACCCUGGUA
rnacentral:rRNA from 1 species